CAAGGCCUACGGGAGGCAGCAGUGAGGAAUAUUGGUCAAUGGGCGAGAGCCUGAACCAGCCAAGUCGCGUGAGGAAAGACGGUGCUAUGGAUUGUAAACCUCUUUUGCCGGGGAGCAAAAAGCGGUACGUGUACCGCAUCGAGAGUACCCGGAGAAAAAGCAUCGGCUAACUCCGUGCCAGCAGCCGCGGUAAUACGGAGGAUGCGAUCGUUAUCCGGAUUUAUUGGGUUUAAAGGGUGCGC
rnacentral:rRNA from 1 species